GCCGCGAUGGCGGAAAUGGUAGACGCGCUAGUUUCAGAGACUAGUGGGAGCAAUCUCGUGGAGGUUCAAGUCCUCUUCGCGGCACCA
rnacentral:tRNA from 1 species